UACGUAGGGCGCAAGCGUUAUCCGGAAUUAUUGGGCGUAAAGAGCUCGUAGGCGGUUUGUCGCGUCUGCCGUGAAAGUCCGGGGCUCAACUCCGGAUCUGCAGUCGAUACGGGCAGGCUAGAGUUCGGCAGGGGAGACUGGAAUUCCUGGUGUAGCGGUGAAAUGCGCAGAUAUCAGGAGGAACACCGGUGGCGAAGGCGGGUCUCUGGACAGUUCCUGACGCUGAGGCACGAAGGUCAGGGGAGCAAACGGG
rnacentral:rRNA from 1 species